rnacentral:lncRNA from 1 species
AAUUUUCUUGAUUUUCACUUUUCCCAACUAUAGUACUAUUUAUGUUUGAUGUUAAAAUUUUAUCGUUUAAAUAAGAGAAUUGUUUUUUUCAGAGUUACAAAAUAGGGAUUAUUAGGUAGAUGAAUAAACUAUAAGAAUUGUUCUUUUUUAAAAUGACUUUUUGUCACAAGAAUUGAUAAAUAACGUUUUCGCAAGAGACAAUUUUGUGUUGUUGAACAAAAAAAAAAUUGAGUUCUUGACCUAAUCAUCCCAUUGAUGUUUUGAUCUCUUUUCAUAUUUUAUGAAUGUCUCAACGAAACCGUCUCAAUGCAACUGCAUAAGGACGUCGUUCGUCAAGCCAAUCCCUCGACAUGUACGAUUAAAGUGACGGUGCAUGGGAAAGAUAUGAUAAUGCUCAUCGUCAAUUAAUCUUGCUUGGGUUUGACAAGGCACACAAUGUAAUCCUCAAAAAAGAAUGACGCAGCUCUAGUUUUGGCCAUCCUUUUGUAAGAAAAAUGUUAAUAUUUUUAUGUUCCAUAUAAUUAUAUAUUUCGUUUAUAUAAGUUUGUAGGAU